AGUGAACGCUGGCGGCGGGCCUAACACAUGCAAGUCGAACGGCAGCACAGUAAGAGCUUGCUCUUACGGGUGGCGGGUGACGGGCGGGUGAGGCAUACAUAGGAUUCUACUUUUUCGUGGAGGACAUCGUAGGACCACUUAUGCUAAUACAGCAUACGAUCUACGGGUGAGAGCAGGGGAUCUUCGCACUUUGCCUGUUUGAAUGAGCCGAUGUCGGAUUAGAUAGUUAGCGAGGUAAAGGCCCACCAAGGCAACGAUCCGUAGCUGAUCUGAGAGGAUGAUCGGCCACACUGGAACUGAGACACGGUCCAGACUCCUACGGGAGGCAGCAGUAGGGAAUAUUGGGCAAUGGGCGCAAGCCUGACGCAGCCAUGCCGCGUGGGUGAAGAAGGUCUUCGGGUUGUAAAGCCCUGUUGUUGGGGAAGAACAUCUGUGUGUGUAUACGCGGCUGUUCUGACGGUACCUAAAGAAUAAGCAACGGCUAACUUCGUG
rnacentral:rRNA from 1 species